rnacentral:rRNA from 1 species
UACAGAGGGUGCGAGCGUUAAUCGGAAUUACUGGGCGUAAAGCGUGCGUAGACGGUUAUUUAAGUCGGGUGUGAAAGCCCCGGGCUCAACCUGGGAAUUGCAUUCGAGACUGAAUAGCUAGGGUACGGUAGAGGGAAGUGGAAUUUCCGGUGUAGCGGUGAAAUGCGUAGAUAUCGGGAGGAACACCAGUGGCGAAGGCGGCUUUCUGGCCCAUUCUUGACGCUGAGGCGCGAAAGCUAGGGUAGCAAACGGG